UACGAAGGGGGCUAGCGUUGCUCGGAAUCACUGGGCGUAAAGCGCACGUAGGCGGACUCUUAAGUCGGUGGUGAAAUCCUGGAGCUCAACUCCUAAACUGCACUGGAUACUGCUCUGCUAGAGGACUGGAGAGGAGACUGGAAUUCACGGUGUAGCAGUGAAAUGCGUAGAUAUCGUGAGGAAGACCAGUGGCGAAGGCGGGUCUCUGGACAGUUCCUGACGCUGAGGCGCGAAGGCCAGGGGAGCAAACGGG
rnacentral:rRNA from 1 species